CCCUCGCUCCCCUCAGCCCCUCGCUCCCCUCAGCCCCUCACUGCCCUCAGCCCCUCGCUCCCCACACUCCCCUCAGCCCCGCGGCCGCCUCGCCCCUCUCUCCUUGCACGCUCCGCUAGUUGCGCUUCCCCAUCCGUCAGGCUCCAGCUCUGGAAAUCAUGUCUUUUCCUUCAGUGGUGGUGGGGUUUGGGGGGCGUGUGGCACAUUCCUGGUGUUGGGGGCUGCAGGGGCUCGGCUCUCCCGGGCCCAGGAGACAGGUGAAGCCCUCAGUUUGUUGGGUAGCGAAGGCAGGUAGCUCAGGAAGGAGAGUUCACGCUUGUCUCAAGCAGCCACCUGCCGCCCUGGGGACCUGGAGCAGUGGCCCAGGAGGUUGUGCUGCAGUAGACAAGUCCAGAAGUUGGUGUGCUGUCUUUUGAGGCCCCUGGUGUUUUUUUGCGUCUUUGGAGAAACCAAGACUAGGAGCCACAUGAUAGAGGACCUGAAAGCAUAAGCUCAAGUGACAUUGAGGAGAAGCCAUGCAAUUAUCCAACUGUACUGACACCAUUAAGGAGCUUGAGCUGGAUCACAGGACUGGUCAAGCCCUUCAGUCCACUUGAAAACACUUUACAAUUUCUGGCAUAGGUGUGUGAGAAUGAUUUAAUUAUUGAAGCCAUUACUAAAGGGAGGAAUUGAGGAGCUAAAAAUGGGCAGAUGCUGCUUCUGCACCAGAAGGGAGCUGGACUGACAAACACACAGAGCUCAUUGCUGAACUACAGAAGUUAGACGCAAGCUUUGAGGCCAUGUGGUUGAAUCCAAGAUUCAUCCUCCAUCCCUGGACCAGAGACAUCGCCAUGAGCCUUCAUCCUUUGCCUGGUACCAGCCAUGGGGUGAAAUGGCUCCCUGGCUCUUGCACAUGCAAAACAUUUGAAUUUCCUGUUGGCUCAGAGAGUUCUUGAACAGGAGGUGAUCUGACAAAAAGCGUAUUUGCACCACAGAUACCUGAUGUAUUACUUCAUCAGCAAAUUCAACAAGGCCAAGAUGUCUUCAUUUUCCUUCAAAGCAAGAGCUGUAAGAGCAGUGUGGUGGAGGUAUUGGUCUUCUGUGGCCAGGCAGUGAGAGCCCAUCGACAGCUGUGAUGAGCAGAGCAGACACGGGAGACAGGAGGCAGCUGAAGCCAAAGAGGACCCACGCCUGGAGCUGUGUCUGUGUGAUUGGAGCAGAGAGAGGCCAGGACCCAAGGAAAUCCCAGCAGCAAGGGAAAAAAACAGAUUGACUCUCAGUGACUCAUUUAGCUCCUGGAUUGGACAGAUCUCUCCCCUGCUGGCAAUUUGGCUGAGCAUCAAUGGACAGAUACCAGGAUGAAUAGCUUAAAAUAAUUAGGGGUUGGGAAUUUGCAAAACUGCUAGCCAUCCAAUUCUUUACUGUGCAAUGUGAGGCAGAAAAAAGAAAUUACAUUUAGGUUAUUAAAUAUUAAGUCAGUGGAUUUACUUCCAUUUGGUGCAGAACAGGAAACUGGCUAAAAUUCAACAUUUAUAUCAUUGUGUUGAUGGUCUGUUUAUCACUGAGCAAGUAAGUGCUUUUUGGCAGGUCAAGCUCUUUGACACAUGGGGCAAAUGCGUGCUUAAUUUCUCCCAAACAGAAGAAUUAAUAUAAUAAUAAUUAACACAGAUGAGAACAGAAUUAAAAUCAAGUACAGUCAGGAGUUUAGUUUAAUGCGAGGUGUCUCACAUUUUAGAUGUUCUGGGGCCAGAUUUUUCCUGUUGAAGAUAGCAAGGGUUUUGCCUUUGGCACUUCUGGGAGCUGAAGUGCGCCUUACAUGUAAAGAGACAGGAUUCCCUGUACUUUCUAUUAAGUGCACAAAACCAGAAGCAACAGGCUCAUUUAGUAUCAGUAAAGGUCAGUUAAAAUUAUAGAGACAUCCUUUGGAGUAAAUCCUCUGUCUUGCAUUUGCAUAUUUAUGAAUUAGAGAUUACAACAGGCUAUUUCAUUUAUUAGAGCAGCACUGCUAUAGUUAAUAGUCUGUCAGUACUUCCAUUAUAAACCCCGUUUUUCAGUGUUUAAUAUCUCAGCCAUUUAAAAUCACAUCAGGAAGCAAGUCAGUCUUAUGUUGCUGGCCAGGUGCAAUUUUUUGUUAUGGAUUACUUUCAAUAAUGAAAUACUGCUCAUCAUAUAUGCAAAUGAGCCACAGCAUUUCUGUUGGAGGGACAUAGGAAGGUGUGUAGUUUCAUUGUGGCUUUGUUUUUCUUUAGGAAAGAAGGGAAAAGAGGAAUUUGACCAAUCAUGUCAACUGUGGCCUUAUGUUUGAAGAAGAGUUUUUCAAGCAACUGCUCUCAGAGGCAAGGCUGGUUCUCAGUGGGAAAUCAGGUUGCUGUUUGCUUUCCAGUGGUGACCAAGGUAAACAGGCAUGGAUCAUAGUACGUGACGGUAAUAACAUUGCCCAAACAGAGUAUCUUCCAUCUCCCAAGGGACUCAGUCUUCUUCAUAAACAUACAAAUAGGAGACAGAAACCAGGCAUAAAGAGCCCUUCAUUCACUCAUGGCAUAAAACCACCCCAAAACAGACAUGUGACAAUUGCUGAAUCAUGCACUGGAAUAACUGAAGGCAGAGAACCACCAGGAAAGACUUUCUACCUCAUGAAGAAUCACAUGAGAUUAACCAGAAAUGUGACUAGAACUGUGAUAUUUUUAUGACUUACCAGACAUUAGGGCAAUCCUUAAACCAUGGUGAAAACAGAUCCACACAGUGAAUCAGAUCAUUCUUUGAACUUAGCCAGGAAGAUCUAGGUUACAGCCACCAAAUGUCUUGAGCAUUUGAGUUAAUUCUGAUCUCUGCUAAGAUUUACUGUGAAUGUGGUGUGAAAGUCUGCUGCACUCCCAGCCAAAACCUCCCUGCCUGCUCAUCCCUCAUUCCUCCUGUGCUACAUCUGUAGUAACUGACGAGUAUGAAUGUCACUGGGGCCAGCACUACAGAGAUGGUAACUUACGCAGUAUAGACAGAAAACAUGGCACACAGUACUUACUCUUUUUUGAUAUGGUUUCAAGGUGAGAAACCCAGGAGAAGAAUGGAAAGGUGAAAAUUCCAACACCAAAAAGAAACCAAACCAAAGAGCCCUACGCUGUGACUCAUCAUUAAUGUAAAAUGUCAGAGCCUAAAGCUCUGCUUUUUUCAUGUGCCUGGAUGCAGAAGGGUGAGGUGCCCUCUGAGGAUGAUUUUAUCUUUUACUUUUGAGUCUGAAGAUCUUGAAUGUGGUUUGGCAAGUUCAUAAAAAUACUGUGAUGAAGUUGAGUUGAGUUGCCAUCUGGAAAUGAUGCAUACAGAGAUGUAAGAAAGCUUGAGGAGAAAACUGCAAAUGCUGGAAGAAGAAUCAGCAAUGCACAUGAAUGAGGUUAAAAAUUGCAGACAAUUAGCUACAAGAUGACUCCUACUAAAUAAAUCAUCAAAGACUUGACUACUGCUUCCAGGUUUCUACUGCGAUAUUAGCUCAUUGGAACAGUCAAAAAGAUGUUAAUUUGGCCAAAGUUUUAGAAAUGUGCUAUUCUUGUUUGAAUUAACAAAUCAACCAACAAGGCCAAUCUAUACUGUCUUGCCAAGGCUAUAAAGCUUCUAGGGAAGCUAUUAUAUUUAAUGCUCAGGAUCUAGGGCCCCAUGAUAUGCAAAAUAAGCCUCUUUAUGUUAAAUGAGAGCUGAGCAGGGAAGAAAACCUGAUCUUGUCAUGGAAUUUCACAUCUUGUUCCAGCAUUCAGGAAAGUGCUUUGGAUGUCCAAUUUAAUAGAGGAGCACAAUUUUUUUUCCCUGUAUGCCUCCACAGACCAGGCCUUGCUCUGUUCUCAUUUAGUUUAAUCCAAGACUCAAAGUAAAAAGAAAAUAUUCCAAUUGCUCCCAAUAGGCAUCCAAUCAAUCUUGUGCAAUGGUUUUACUUAAAUGUAAAUUCAGUGCUAAGGUCCUCCCAGGAAAAAGAGAGGUAAGUGAUAUGAGUCUGCACACAAACUUUCCACCCUCCUGUUAUUUGCUGCUGAUAGAACCUAUCCUUUGGCUUGGCAAAAACUUCUUAAUUUGUCUGGUCUAUCUGCAGGGUUGACUGGUGUAAAAAAAAUGCUCACCUCGACCUUCUUUAUUGCUACAUCGAGCCAGCUCACUACAGUUGUACUCUUUUCUACUGCUUGAGAUUUACUUGUGUCCCUGGUGUGUUGUGAUAAGCCUCUGAAUGGCAGUGCUGUGAAGGUUUUGCUCUUCCCAAAGACUCUCCUGAGGUUCAG